rnacentral:rRNA from 1 species
GGCCACAGCCAUAUCACCCUGCAGGACAAGAACGGUCACUCACUGAAGCUAAGCAGGGCUGAGCCUGGUCAGUACCUGGAUGGGAGACCACAUGGGAAAACUAGGUUGCUGUUGGAA